AGCUGACAGCAGUUGGAUGUCUACAAAGAAACACAUACUUCUAGACAAUGGCUGGAUCGAUCCUUCAGUAACUGCCAUUAUUUGACAGAUGCAGUGUUCAAUGUACACAAUACUCCUCACCAACAGAAGGUGGUGACUGAAACAGCCUUGCUUAAAAUUGCUUAAAAUAAGGUUAGUGGGUUGCAUGCAAUGCUAUUUUUAAUCCCGUACUACUAGGAGACACAUUUUUUAACAUAAUGGAUUUUUUGAAGUACAAUAAUGUCUUCUAAAAAAUCCCAAAGGUGCCCCAUGUUUUUUUUUUGGGGGGGGGGAGGCAAGGGUAGGAAUCAUGAGAUUAACACUGAUGUUCUAUGUGUGUCAAAUUUAGGACUGCUGAUGUAAAUUUGAAUUGGGUCAAAUAUUUGCACCAGCUCUAGGCUGGAACAGCAAUCUUCCUCCCUCCAGUUCACUUCAACCAACAUGCUAAGCAGGACUGAAGAUGCACAGGGGGGCACACUGCUUUGUAAAACCAUGCUGGGAAGCAGCUGUUAGGAUUGCACCCUUAGCAAGCUAACUUUAGCACCUAUUUUAUACAUGGACACAACCGUCCUGGGUCUAGUGUUACUGUUCUUAUGCUUCUCUUUUCUAGUUAGAACUGUUUUUCUGACUAGAACCCAAAUCAUCUCUCCGGACAAGGCAACAAUAGCAAGAAAAAUGCUCAGCAUAGUGCACCAUAGAUCACCACCUUAGGGAAAAAGAAGACCAAGCACAGGAGAGUUAGUUUCCUGGCACACUCAGCUCUGUACGUUCCUCAGAGCAGCUUGAGGGGCUCUUUCUGCAAUCCAAUUAAAAGCAGCUCACAUCUAGACGGUGAAGAAACACGUACAGCACACACACCUGAUAGAUAUUUAUAAGACACAACAGUAUUCAAUUAGUUCAGGAUCAGUUUCAUUGGUCCCCUUCCAUCUUGCCAUAUGGCCCACGAUCAAUAGGUGUCUGAAUUAGCAAGCAAGAUCACAAAGCAGCCAAUGAUAUGGUUGGGAGUCAGCAAAAAGCAAGCUUGCUCUGUGUAUCUCUAGAGACCACAAAAGCACAGCAAUAUUGAAUAGUCUCUGCCUCUCUCCCCAUUGAGUUUCUAUCAUGGAAGUUUGCAGCAAUGCUAAAAAUAGAGUGUUUCUGUGCGUGGAGCUGUUCCCCUCGAUACAUAUAUUUCAGUCUAAUAAAAAGUGCCGGCCGUUUCAUUGCUCCUUUCCCUCAGAAUGAGAUACUCCGAUAACAGCCAUUAAAAUCAACCCUUGCAAAUGAGCAGGUACAGGGGGUUCUUUUAAAUGCAGCCUCCAUUCUAGCAGGUGGCCAGAACCACUCUGAACCAAGUGAUUACCUGUGAAUAGAAGAGGUAAUGCUGACAACUGCUCGCUGCAGGCAGUUAUUCAAAAAGGAGAAACAGAAGGGAAUGGAAUGGAAAUGCAGCACAUUUAAAGUGCUUCGUAAUAAAUACCUUAGGAGACCCGCUGCUGGCCUAUUCUCCAAAAAGCCUUCCUUUGAGCUUUUGGGAUGGGCUUGGUCACAAUGAAUGCUAAUGGGCAAUCAGUGAAGCCCAUCCUCCUUCACACUGCAUGGUGAAAGGUGGCCUUGAAGCUGCUUUUCCAGGUCUGCAAGGCACAAGGGCAAGAAAGCCUGGGAAGUUUGUACGAAGCCAGUGGGAGAGUUAUGAGCUGCAAUGUAGAUGCUGCUGUAGAACUUACGUUCCUAUGAAUCUAGCACUACCUGCCUGCUCAAGUCUGCUUACCUGUGCACCUACAUAAGAACCUGCUUGAUUGGGCCAAUGGCCCAUCCAGUCCAGCAUGCUGUUCUCACAGCAGCCAACUGGGUGCCUGUGGGAAGCCUGGAAGCAGCGCCCAAAUCUUCUCCACCUCCAGAAGUUUCCCACCACUGUGGCUAUUUCCAGCAAUUCCUCCCCUGGCCCUAGCUCCCCAUGCACCUAAAAUCUGUUCAAGAGGGUCCCCCAAUUCUCUAGAGAUUUUGAGAAGCGGUAGGGUGGAGGAUGUGGGAGAGGAAUAGCCAAAAACUGCUCCCACUUCUCCAUUCAGCUGAUGGCUGCUUUCCGGCAGACAAACAUCAGCUGGAUUCUACCAUCUAUUCCUAGGCAUACAGCAAAAGCCAGCAUUUUCACAAUACUUUUGUAAUAGCUGGGACGUCCCAAAAUAUAAAAGCAAAAAGUCAUCAUUCAUAUACUUAUUAAAACUUUUAUUAUGAAAACAAAAUUGUCAUUUUACAGUUAUGUGAAUCACACACAGAACAAUACAUACAAUGAAUUCUAUUUUGCCAGAUUAUAGUUUUGUACAAGGCCAACAUCUCAUUCCAAGGGCCUAGACAUUCCUAUUCCCUGACGAAGAGAGAAGUAGCUAUUUAUUGAAGGGACAAACUGCAACUUGCAUUCACAACAUUCAGCAAUGUAGUUGAGCACCGUAACCGUUUAGAGCCAUGGUGCUUUUUAUUCUUCAAGAGGAUGGAUCGGUCCAGUAGCACUUUGUAAUGUGCAUGUAGCACAUUGGUAAAUAUACCUUUUAGUAAUGUGAAUAUUUACAGUACAGGUGUGACAAGAAGCCAAAACAAUUCUGAAUGAUGUGAUGCAAAAGAUGACGGUCUUCAGCGAUCAGCUUCUGCACACAUUUCAGGCCACAAAACAAGUGUCACAUUCUUUGCAGGCAAUCUUAUCUGUCUGGAAUACAUAUGAAAAUCAGUGGCCAACUUUGUGUAAAUCAUUUAGUUAAGGCAUAUAUACAACAAGUAUGAGCCAUGAAAUCUUUAUUUUGAAUGGCUGAUUCCUUAUGGAUCUCUAGUAUGCAAUAUUUUAUUAGGCACUUCUGCCAGCAACAAAAGAAGGAAAUAAGGGGUGGGGGGAACAUGGCUAAGUGUUCCAGUAACCACCAUAAAGUAGUUGUGUAAAGAAGCCCUUGCUGGUGUGGCCGAGGGGUGGAGGGAGGCGCCGCUGAGCUCCCAGUUCAAAAUGUGCUUCCCACAGAGCUCUUUAGACUUGGGGCACCUUGAGACAGUCACUAUUUUGGGGUGAUAGUUGUCCACAUACCAGCAAAUUCCAGUUGCGCAAUUAAAGUUGAUUUAGAGAUAUUGCACAUCAAACACGCUUCCCAAAAGAUAAUUUUCUUCUUCUUUUUAGCAAAAAGGAAAGUGAAAGGAAAAAGUAGCAGAAAGUGUGGGAUGCUACAUCAUCUAGCCUCCUUAUAAACAAAAGCGAAUGCUCAGUAAAACAGCUAACCACGUCUAAUCUGCCUGCAAACAAAUCAGGAUGAAUGCUCAAAAUGCAGGUCUACUGGAAGCGCCCUUAAGUGUCUUCUAAAAGGAUUAAGAGCAAAAGAGGAGGUAUGGAAUAAUAACAAAAAUCCUUCUACAAGGUUAAAUUUACACUCAUGCCUUCUCUCACCAAAUAAUCUGGAAGAACAGCAUAUUUUAUUGAAUGACAAAAACCAGGAUUAGAAAAGAACCCAUUUAUUGUAGAAUGGUGUGGUGUUUUCCCCCCCUAUAUCCCUAGAAAGAAUAUCAUAUCAACAAGAAUUUACAAUUUUGGCAUGUUAAAGCACAACAAACUUAAGAUCACUUAUUUUAGUGAGCAAGUUCUGUUAACAUUUUCACAUUAAUGCACAUUUUGCUAGCCACAAAAAUAGGCUGUUAAGACUGAUCUCACUGAUAUAACAGUUUGAAGUCCAGUAACAUAUGAUUUUUAUUGUUCGCAGAACUUUUAAAAAGUUGAUAAAG